rnacentral:rRNA from 1 species
UACGGAGGGAGCUAGCGUUGUUCGGAAUUACUGGGCGUAAAGCGCGCGUAGGCGGCUAUUCAAGUCAGAGGUGAAAGCCCGGGGCUCAACCCCGGAACUGCCUUUGAAACUAGAUAGCUAGAAUCUUGGAGAGGCGAGUGGAAUUCCGAGUGUAGAGGUGAAAUUCGUAGAUAUUCGGAAGAACACCAGUGGCGAAGGCGACUCGCUGGACAAGUAUUGACGCUGAGGUGCGAAAGCGUGGGGAGGCAAG